GACGAACGCUGGCGGCGUGCUUAACACAUGCAAGUCGAACGGAAAGGCCCUGCUUUUGUGGGGUGCUCGAGUGGCGAACGGGUGAGUAACACGUGAGUAACCUGCCCUUGACUUUGGGAUAACUUCAGGAAACUGGGGCUAAUACCGGAUAGGAGCUCCUGCUGCAUGGUGGGGGUUGGAAAGUUUCGGCGGUUGGGGAUGGACUCGCGGCUUAUCAGCUUGUUGGUGGGGUAGUGGCUUACCAAGGCUUUGACGGGUAGCCGGCCUGAGAGGGUGACCGGCCACAUUGGGACUGCGAGACGGCCCAGACUCCUACGGGAGGCAGCAGGGGGGAAUAUUGCACAAUGGGCGGAAGCCUGAUGCAGCAACGCCGCGUGCGGGAUGACGGCCUUCGGGUUGUAAACCGCUUUCGCCUGUGACGAAGCGUGAGUGACGGUAAUGGGUAAAGAAGCACCGGCUAACUACGUG
rnacentral:rRNA from 1 species